rnacentral:rRNA from 1 species
AGUGAACGCUGGCGGUAGGCCUAACACAUGCAAGUCGAACGGCAGCACAGUAAGAGCUUGCUCUUACGGGUGGCGAGUGGCGGACGGGUGAGGAAUACAUCGGAAUCUACUUUUUCGUGGGGGAUAACGUAGGGAAACUUACGCUAAUACCGCAUACGACCUACGGGUGAAAGCAGGGGAUCUUCGGACCUUUCGCGAUUGAAUGAGCCGAUGUCGGAUUAGCUAGUUGGCGGGGUAAAGGCCCACCAAGGCGACGAUCCGUAGCUGGUCUGAGAGGAUGAUCAGCCACACUGGAACUGAGACACGGUCCAGACUCCUACGGGAGGCAGCAGUGGGGAAUAUUGGACAAUGGGCGCAAGCCUGAUCCAGCCAUACCGCGUGGGUGAAGAGGGCCUUCGGGUUGUAAAGCCCUUUUGUUGGGAAAGAAAAGCAGCAGGUUAAUACCCCGCUGUUCUGACGGUACCCAAAGAAUAAGCACCGGCUAACUUCGUG